GAGGCUGUGGCUCAGUGGUGGAGUGCAUGCUUAGCAUGCAUGGGGUCCUGGGUUCAAUCCCCAGUGCCUCC
rnacentral:tRNA from 1 species